CUCAGUCUUUUCACCUUCUGACAUUCUCCACUCAGCAUUCUCUGCUGGAGCAGCACUGCCUUCAGUUCUUCCCUCCACCAGGAAGCCAUCCCAGGAAAGAGGAUGGCAAGGUAUCUCCAUAGGCUUGAACUGUGCUCACAUAAACACCCCUAAAGCAAAGAAAGUAGAAAUGCAGUCACUGAGGGGACAAGGAUGGAGAGAGACCCUGGUAUCAUCAAGAACCACCAUGGGGGGAAACAUGGAGAGUUUAGAGUCCGGAAGCACAGCAGAAAUGCAAAGAUUAGGGAAUGGAAGAGUACCCCAUCCUGGUGAGAGACUUGGGGAAGAGCUGGUACAUCACUCAGCUUUUCCUCUACCCUCCACAGCUGUAGCAAGUACAAGGCUGGACAUGGUGGAAGUGUGGAGUGUAUGAGAGGAGACAUCGUUGUUGUUAGCUGCUAUCAAGUCGAUUCAAACUCAUGGCGACUGUAUAUACAACAGAGCAAAAAUUUGCUAGUCCUGCAUCAUCCUUACAAUUGCUGGCUGCCACAUUGUUGUAGCUAUUGUGCCAAUCCACCUCUCCAAGGGUCUCCCUUCCCCUUGCUGGCCCUCUACUUCCCCAAACAUGAUGUCCUCCUCUAGCACUUGAUCCCUCCUGAUUCUGUGUCCAAAUCAAGCAUGUCAGGCAAUGUUAUGUUGUGACUCAUAAAGUUUUUCAUUGACUAAUUUUUCCU